AAGCGACUCAGCAGCAGCAGCAGCAGCUCAUUUAGGAACUAUCCCAGAAGUUUGGAUUCGCCUUAAUUAGUUUCUCCUGAAGGCAUUCUUCUUAAGAACAGAGUGCUCUGGUCUAUUUCAAGGCUGUUACAUUUCCCCUCCCACUACGAGAUGCAUUAGGGGAUUUUUCUCUGAUUUCACUAAAGGACCUGUUUGAGCUCCAGGGAGGCAACUCUCUGGAAAUUGUGGGGAUCCUCAAAUGACUGACUUCCUCUGGACUAUUUUAACUCUCUCGUCGACACUGAGCUCCGGGGAGACAACUCUAUGGAAAUUGUGCGGAUCCUCAAAUGACUGAGUUCCUCUGGACUAUUUUAACUCUCUCGUUGACACUUAGCGUCCAGCAGUUGGCGAACUAAGUUUCGGGUUUUCCUACGCGGAUUGGCUUCUGCGGCAGUUUCGACUUGUGGUUAUCUGCUCCGACGAUUUUGUUACAACCUAAUGAUUCAACCAGACUGUAGGAAGAAAAGUAAAAUCUGUAUGUUCUAUUGAGGCAGAAGACGAUUUGAGGGGAGACACAUGAAUGAGACAGCUUUCCUGGUAGCUCAGCUGGUGAAGAAUCCGCCCGCAAUGCAGGAGACCUGGGUUCCAU